UAACACGUGAGUAACCUGCCCUUAACUCUGGGAUAAGCCUGGGAAACUGGGUCUAAUACCGGAUAUGACUCCUCAUCGCAUGGUGGGGGGUGGAAAGCUUUAUUGUGGUUUUGGAUGGACUCGCGGCCUAUCAGCUUGUUGGUGAGGUAAUGGCUCACCAAGGCGACGACGGGUAGCCGGCCUGAGAGGGUGACCGGCCACACUGGGACUGAGACACGGCCCAGACUCCUACGGGAGGCAGCAGUGGGGAAUAUUGCACAAUGGGCGAAAGCCUGAUGCAGCGACGCCGCGUGAGGGAUGACGGCCUUCGGGUUGUAAACCUCUUUCAGUAGGGAAGAAGCGAAAGUGACGGUACCUGCAGAAGAAGCGCCGGCUAACUACGUGCCAGCAGCCGCGGUAAUACGUAGGGCGCAAGCGUUAUCCGGAAUUAUUGGGCGUAGAGAGCUCGUAGGCGGUUUGUCGCGUCUGCCGUGAAAGUCCGGGGCUCAACUCCGGAUCUGCGGUGGGUACGGGCAGACUAGAGUGAUGUAGGGGAGACUGGAAUUCCUGGUGUAGCGGUGAAAUGCGCAGAUAUCAGGAGGAACACCGAUGGCGAAGGCAGGUCUCUGGGCAUUAACUGACGCUGAGGAGCGAAAGCAUGGGGAGCGAACAGGAUUAGAUACCCUGGUAGUCCAUGCCGUAAACGUUGGGCACUAGGUGUGGGGGACAUUCCACGUUUUCCGCGCCGUAGCUAACGCAUUAAGUGCCCCGCCUGGGGAGUACGGCCGCAAGGCUAAAACUCAAAGGAAUUGACGGGGGCCCGCACAAGCGGCGGAGCAUGCGGAUUAAUUCGAUGCAACGCGAAGAACCUUACCAAGGCUUGACAUGAACCGGAAAUACCUGGAAACAGGUGCCCCGCUUGCGGUCGGUUUACAGGUGGUGCAUGGUUGUCGUCAGCUCGUGUCGUGAGAUGUUGGGUUAAGUCCCGCAACGAGCGCAACCCUCGUUCUAUGUUGCCAGCGCGUUAUGGCGGGGACUCAUAGGAGACUGCCGGGGUCAACUCGGAGGAAGGUGGGGACGACGUCAAAUCAUCAUGCCCCUUAUGUCUUGGGCUUCACGCAUGCUACAAUGGCCGGUACAAAGGGUUGCGAUACUGUGAGGUGGAGCUAAUCCCAAAAAGCCGGUCUCAGUUCGGAUUGGGGUCUGCAACUCGACCCCAUGAAGUCGGAGUCGCUAGUAAUCGCAGAUCAGCAACGCUGCGGUGAAUACGUUCCCGGGCCUUGUACACACCGCCCGUCAAGUCACGAAAUUU
rnacentral:rRNA from 1 species